rnacentral:rRNA from 1 species
AUGCUGACUGGUUCCGGUGCUGGGGUGGUACUGGUGUCCCCCCGAGGAGACAAGCUCAGAUAUGUUCUCCAGAUUCACUUUGAUUCCUCCAACAACGAAGCAGAAUAUGAAGCACUCUUAUAUGGGUUACGUAUGGCCAUCUCACUCGGCGUCCAUCGCCUCAUGGUCUACGGCGACUCAGAUUUGGUAGUCAAUCAAGUGAUGAAGGAGUGGGACAUCGAAAACCCAGCUAUGACUGGUUAUUGCAAUGCGGUGAGGAAAUUGGAAAAGAAGUUUGAGGGGUUAGAGCUCCAUCAUAUACCCCGACUGAAAAAUCAAGCAGCCGAUGAUUUGGCAAAGAUAGGUUCCAAGAGGGAAGCCAUUCCCAGCAAUGUAUUUUUGGAACACAUUCAUACACCUUCAGUUCAAGAAGAUCCUUUCACUGAAGAGCCCCCGCAUCCUAAGAGUGCCACAGAACCGACUGAAGUCGAAGUCCCAGCCGUGGUCGACCUGAUCAUGGAGGUUUUGGUCAUCACUCCCGACUGGACAGUGCCAUACAUUGCGUAUAUCCUUAGGAAGGAACUCCCAGAGGAUGAAGAGGAGGCUAGACAGAUCGUUCAUCGAUCCAAAGCCUUUACUGUGAUAAGAGGACAGUUGUUCAGAGAAAGUGUAACCGGAGUCAGCCAGAAAUGCAUAACACCAGAAGAAGGUCGAGUGAUCCUCAACGACAUCCACUCGGGGACCUGUGGCCACCAUGCGUCCUCUCGGACCAUUGUGGCCAAAGCAUACCGAGCUGGAUUUUAUUGGCCACGAGCAAAUGAAAUGGCGAAAGAUAUAGUCGACAAAUGUGAAGGCUGCCAGUUUUACUCCAAUAUGUCCCACAAGCCUGCAUCUGCCCUGAAGACCAUUCCACUCGUCUGGCCCUUUGCUGUUUGGGGGUUGGAUAUGGUUCGACCCCUGAGGACUGGUAGGAGCGGCUUCACUCAUGUGCUUGUAACAGCCGACAAGUUUACCAAAUGGAUUGAAGCCAAGCCUAUCAAGAAUCUUGAAGCCAGUACUGCCGCCAGCUUCAUCAGAGAAUUGACAUUCAGAUAUGGAGUUCCGCACAGCAUCAUCACUGACAACGGGUCAAACUUCGAUUCUGAUGAGUUCAGAGCCUUCUGUGCUUCCCAAGGCACACGAGUCGACUACGCUUCAGUCGCCCACCCCUAG